rnacentral:sRNA from 2 species
UGAUCAUGCAUGGAACUGGGAUCAAAUUUUUCCUCAGUUCUAUUAUUAGAUAUCUUAGUUCUGGUUCUAUAUAGUGUUUAGUAAAUUAGUUACUUUACACUGUUUAUAUUAUAAAUCUAGUCCCAGAUCAUGUUUUACUAAUAAAUUAGUGAUUUCAGUUUCAUUUGAUUUCAUUUUACAAAAUGAAAUCAAAUGAAACCAUGAUUUACUCUAUAUAGAUUGGCAGUGGUAGAUAGAUUGACAGUGAUAGAUAGAUUGACAG